ACUAGGAAGGACCUCGGACUGCGCGGCGCGACGAGGGGUGUAUGGAGGAGCCCAAGGGCAGCGGGACCUAGGGCUGGCCUCAGGAAGUGUCUGGAACCCCAAAGCGCUGCCCAUGGAAGUUAUUCCUCUCCUGAAGACCAGCUCACCCUGCUGCCCAGGCCACAAAGCAAGGCGGAGAGAUGAAGGCAGCGAGAGGAACUGAGCAGAGAUGGACUGGGCCUGGGUCCCACAGGGAGGCAGCGUCACUCCUCCCGCCCUUCUAAAGAGUCCCUAACUGCUGCCUUCAGGGGUUGAGAGGUGGCUGGAGACUCCUGUCCUCCCGAUGCCAGCACUGGAGCCCUUGAUGCUUGGAGCUGCCCCAGCUCCUGCUCCCUGAGGACACAGUUCUCAGCCUGAAGGUCAGCAGUCUUGGAGUCUCCCCAGCAUAUCUGACCCCCUUCCCUAGGGGUCCCCAGAGAACAGGUGAGGCAAAAGACAGGAGCCCCACCCCAUCAAGCUCCUGCAUGCAGGGUCAUAAAGAUGAGGAUCUCUGUCAGAGUGGAACAGUAUGCAAGCCUAGACCAGGAGCGCUCCAGGCAGUGGAGCGUGCUACAUCGUCUGUCACUGGAGGCUGCAUAUCACAUCACAGUGUUUCCUGAAUUUAGUAAGAAGUGCAAAUAAUGC
rnacentral:lncRNA from 1 species